GUAAAUUAAAAUCUGAUAAUAUACAAGAGUAAGUGGCAAAGUGAAAUACAGCCUCAAAGAUGGGUUCAAUUACCAUGAAUCAAACAACUAUCGAAGAUGGGUUGUUUUUCGACAUAUGGCAUCAACCUAGAUAACAUUUAUAUAUUACCAGAUAUGAUGUAAAAUCUCCAUUAUGCACAAUGCCAAUUUAAUGAGGCUAGUGGGUGAAGCAUUAAAGCUUCUUGGGUGAA
rnacentral:misc_RNA from 1 species